UACGUAGGGGGCAAGCGUUAUCCGGAUUUACUGGGUGUAAAGGGAGCGUAGACGGCAUAGCAAGUCUGAAGUGAAAGCCCGUGGCUCAACCGCGGAACUGCUUUGGAAACUGUUAAGCUGGAGUACUGGAGAGGCAAGCGGAAUUCCUAGUGUAGCGGUGAAAUGCGUAGAUAUUAGGAGGAACACCAGUGGCGAAGGCGGCUUGCUGGACAGAGACUGACGUUGAGGCUCGAAAGCGUGGGGAGCAAACAGG
rnacentral:rRNA from 1 species